AACGAACGUUGGCGGCGUAGUUAAGGCAUGCAAGUCGCACGAGAACGACGGGCUUCGGUUCGUCUAGUAAAGUGGCGAAAGGGUGAGGAUAACGUGGACAACCUGCCCACAGCAGGGGGAUAACCCGCCGAAAGGCGGGCUAAUACCGCGUAAGACCACAGGAUGGCAUCAUCAAGGGGUCAAAGGUGGGGAUCCUUCGGGACCUACCGGCUGUGGAGGGGUUCAUGGCCUAUCAGCUAGUUGGCGGGGUAACGGCCCACCAAGGCUGCGACGGGUAGCCGGCCUUAGAGGGUGACCGGCCACAUCGGGACUGAGACACUGCCCGGACUCCUACGGGAGGCUGCAGUUUGGAAUAUUCCGCAAUGGGCGAAAGCCUGACGGAGUGACGCCGCGUGAGGGAUGAAGGCCUUCGGGUUGUAAACCGUACUUUGUUCGUUAGUAAGGACACC
rnacentral:rRNA from 1 species